AGUGGGUGUAAUGUACCUACUAGCCUACGACGGGUACGGGUUGUGAGAGCAAGAGCCCGGAGAUGGAUUCUGAGACAUGAAUCCAGGCCCUACGGGGCGCAGCAGGCGCGAAAACUUUACAAUGCGGGAAACCGCGAUAAGGGGACACUGAGUGCCAGUACCAUGUACUGGCUGUCCGCAUGUAUAAAUCACAUGUGUCAGCAAGGGCCGGGCAAGACCGGUGCCAGCCGCCGCGGUAACACCGGCGGCCCGAGUGGUGGCCAUUAUUAUUGGGUCUAAAGGGUCCGUAGCCGGUUUGAUCAGUCUUCCGGGAAAUCUGACAGCUCAACUGUUAGGCUUCUGGGGGAUACUGUCAGACUUGGAACCGGGAGAGGUAAGAGGUACUACAGGGGUAGGAGUGAAAUCUUGUAAUCCUUGUGGGACCACCAGUGGCGAAGGCGUCUUACCAGAACGGGUUCGACGGUGAGGGACGAAAGCUAGGGGCACGAACCGGAUUAGAU
rnacentral:rRNA from 1 species